UUAAGUUCAGCGGGUAUUCCUACCUGAUCCGAGGUCAACCAUGGAAAGCGUUUUCCGGCCGAGAGCGCCCUGCACCAGAACGAGAUACAAUACUACGUUCAGCUUCGGGGCGUACUCGCCGCUGUCUUUAGGGGGCUGCAGCGCAGGCCCCCAACACCAGGCAGAGCCUGAGGGUUGAAAUGACGCUCGAACAGGCAUGC
rnacentral:misc_RNA from 1 species